CCAAAGGCUCUUUUAAGAGGCACCCACUUCUAAAGAAUAAAAAAGU
rfam:Gasterosteus aculeatus cont1.011534, whole genome shotgun sequence.